UUGGGGACUAGAAGAAUCUGACUGUUUAAUUAAAACAGAGCAUUGCGAGGGUCUUAAAAGAUGUUGACGCAAUGUGAAUUCUGCCCAGUGCUCUGAACGUUAAAGUGGAGAAAUUCAGUGAAGCGCGGGUAAACGGCGGGAGUAACUAUGACUCUCUUAAGGUAGCCAAAUGCCUCGUCAUCUAAUUAGUGACGCGCAUGAAUCGAUUAACGAGAUUCUUACUGUCCCUACUUGCUACUGGGUGAACCCACAGCCAAGGGAACGGGCUUGGGAAACGGAAUGGCGGGGCAAGAAGACCCUGUUGAGCUUGACUCUAGUCUGACAUUGUGGAAUGACUUGAGAGGUGUAGAAUAGGUGGGAGGCUUGCCGACCGUGAAAUACCACCACUCUUGAUGUCGUUUUACUUAUAUGGUUAAAUUGAGGAGUAACGUUUUACGUUUGCUUUUUUCGGAAUUAAACGCAGUGUUUUUAUGCAGUGUGAUCAAUGUUAUAGACAUUGUCUGGUGGGGAGUUUGGCUGGGGCGGCACAUCUGUUAAAAGAUAACACAGGUGUCCUAAGGUGAGCUCAAUGAGAACAGAAAUCUCCUGUAGAGUAUAAGGGCAAAAGCUCACUUGACUCGGACUUUCAGUAUGAGUACGAGCCUUGAAAAAGAGGCCUAACGAUCCUUUAUAUUCGUUAAAGAUUCACGCUAGAGGUGUCAGAAAAGUUACCACAGGGAUAACUGGCUCGUGGCAGCCAAGCGUUCAUAGCGACGUUGCUCUUUGAUUCUUCGAUGUCGGCUCUUCCUAUCCUUACCUUGCAUCCGGGGUAAAUGGUAAGAUUGUUCACCUACUAACAGGGAACGUGAGCUGGGUUAGACCGUCGCGAGACAGGUUAGUUUUAUCCUACCAUUUCGGUCAGUUGUUUGACAGUAAUUCAACCAAGUACGAGAGGAACCGUUGAUUCACGUGGCCGGUAUUUUCAAUUGCUCGAAAGGGCAUUGUUGAGAAGCUGAAAUGUGACCGGAUAACGGCUGAACGCCUCUUAAGCCGGAACCCACGCUGAAUGACAACUAUCGUUGCUUCUUGAAGCUUGU
rnacentral:rRNA from 1 species